UACGUAGGGUGCAAGCGUUGUCCGGAAUUAUUGGGCGUAAAGAGCUCGUAGGCGGUCUGUCGCGUCGGCUGUGAAAACCCGGAGCUCAACUCCGGGCCUGCAGUCGAUACGGGCAAACUGGAGUGUUGCAGGGGAGACUGGAAUUCCUGGUGUAGCGGUGAAAUGCGUAGAUAUCGAGAGGAACACCUGCGGCGAAGGCGGGUUGCUGGGCUGACACUGACGCUGAAGCGCGAAAGCCAGGGGAGCGAACGGG
rnacentral:rRNA from 1 species